GACGAACGCUGGCGGCGUGCCUAAUACAUGCAAGUCGAGCGAGAAGACGUAGCAAUGCGUUUGUAAAGCGGCGAACGGGUGAGGAAUACAUGGGUAACCUACCCUCGAGUGGGGAAUAACUAGCCGAAAGGUUAGCUAAUACCGCGUACGCUCCUUGGACUUCGGUUCAGGGAGGAAAGCGAUACCGUGGGUAUCGCGCUCUUGGUUGGGCUCAUGUCCUAUCAGCUUGUUGGUGAGGUAACGGCUCACCAAGGCUUCGACGGGUAGCUGGUCUGAGAGGACGAUCAGCCACACUGGCACUGCGACACGGGCCAGACUCCUACGGGAGGCAGCAGUAAGGAAUAUUGCGCAAUGGGCGAAAGCCUGACGCAGCGACGCCGCGUGGGGGAUGAAGGUC
rnacentral:rRNA from 1 species